CGUUUCUAAGGGGGGGGGGGAGGUCUCCAGAGAAACGAACAUAUGACGUUUCUCAUGGACAAAAUCGAUAUGUGAGGCUUCCCUUAGCAAAAUAUUAACAUCAUUUGAAAAUUGAACAGUUAUACUUCUUUUUAACAAGUUUAUUCAAGACAAUCUGAAAACAAGUUAUUAAUCAAUUUCAAAGAAUCUCAAAACAACUUCAAGAUAGAUUUUCAACACAUUACAACAUAUCACACAAAUGUUUUCAAUUUAUGUUGCCUAGCUAGUGGGGCAGCACAUUGUCAUGCAUACUCAUAUGAUCUUCAAGUUCAGUGGCAACUUCAAACUCGGCAUCACAGGCACAACAGAUAUAACCAAUACCAGUUGCUUCUCUUGCUUCUAAUUCCUUACAGACAUCACAUUGGUAGGACAUACCAUGGUCUUUGGCCUUGUGCUGAUAUAAACUUUCAACAUCAGGGAACUGUUUGUUGCAUUUGUCACAGUCAAAAUGAUCAUCACUCUUCUGUAUCUCAUUAGCAUGUGCUUGACCUUGAAUAAUUUCUCUGCCACAGGUGUGGCACAAUAAUAAGCCAUCUCUCAAGUGUGAUCUCCAGUGAUGUUUGAGACUUUGUCGUUGUGUGAAUGUUUUCUUGCAGAUGCCGCACUGAAAACUCUGAUUUCUCUUGUGUGCUGAUGUUUUAUGUCGUGUUAAUUUGUGCGAUUCUGAAAAUCUCUUGUUGCAAACGUCACAUUGGUAAGGUUUGUCGCCAGUGUGUGUUUGUUUAUGCGUCGUUAAGUGGCUCAAGCAUGAAAAUCUCUUCUUACAAAUAUCACAUUCAUGAGGUUUGUCUCCAGUAUGUGUUCUUUUAUGUCUGACUAAGUGGCGUGACUGCGAAAAUCUUUUGUUGCAAACAUCACAUUCAUAAGGUUUCUCUCCAGUGUGUGUUCUCUUAUGAACCACUAAGUGGCUUGACUGUGAAAAUUGUUUGUUGCAAACAUCACAUUCAUAUGGUUUCUCUCCAGUGUGUGCUCUCUUAUGUUGAGUUAGGGCGCUUGGGGCAGAAAAUCUUUGGUUGCAAACAUCACAUUCAUAAGGUUUCUCUCCAGUGUGUGUUCUUUUAUGAACCACUAAAUGGCCUGACUGUGAAAAUUGUUUGUUGCAAACAUCACAUUCAUAAGGUUUCUCUUCAGUGUGUGUUCUCUUAUGUUUAGUUAGGGUGCUUGGGUCACAAAAUCUUUUGUUGCAAACAUCGCAUUCAUAAGGUUUGUCUCCAGUGUGUGUUCUCUUAUGUUUAGUUAGGUUGCCUGAGUGGAGAAAUCUUUUGUUGCAAACAUCACAUUCAUAAGGUUUGUCUCCAGUGUGUGUUCUCUUAUGUUUAGUUAGGUUGCCUGGGUUGGAAAAUCUUUUGUUGCAAACAUCACAUUGAUAAGGUUUGUCUCCAGUGUGUGUUCUUUUAUGUCUGACUAAGUUGCUUGACCGCGAAAAUCUUUUGUUGCAAACAUCACAUUCAUAAGGUUUGUCUCCAGUGUGUGUUCGUUUGUGGGUAGCUAAGUUGCCUGAGUGGAGAAAUCUUUUCUUGCAAACAUCACAUUCAUAAGGUUUCUCUUCAGUGUGUGUUCUCUUAUGUUUAGUUAGGGUGCUUGGGUCAGAAAAUAUUUUGUUGCAAACAUCACAUUCAUAAGGUUUCUCUCCAGUGUGUGUUCGUUUGUGGGUAGCUAAGUUGCCUGACCGCGAAAAUCUUUGGUUGCAAACAUCACAUUCAUAAGGUUUCUCUCCAGUGUGUGUUCUCUUAUGUUUAGUUAGGGUGCUUGGGUCAGAAAAUAUUUUGUUGCAAACAUCACAUUCAUAAGGUUUCUCUCCAGUGUGUGUUCGUUUGUGGGUAGCUAAGUUGCCUGACCGCGAAAAUCUUUCGUUGCAAACAUCACAUUCAUAAGGUUUCUCUUCAGUGUGUGUUCUCUUAUGUUUAGUUAGGGUGCUUGGGUCAGAAAAUAUUUUGUUGCAAACAUCACAUUCAUAAGAUUUCUCUCCAGUGUGUGUUCUCUUAUGUUUAGUUAGGGUGCUUGGGUCAGAAAAUAUUUUGUUGCAAACAUCACAUUCAUAAGGUUUCUCUCCAGUGUGUGUUCGUUUGUGAGUAGCUAAGUUGCCUGACCGCGAAAAUCUUUCGUUGCAAACAUCACAUUCAUAAGGCUUCUCGCUAGUUUGAGUUCUCUUAUGGCUAGCUAAAAUGUCUGAUCGCAAAAAUCUUUUGUUGCAAACAUCACAUUCAAAAGUCUUGUUCCCAGUGUGUGUUCUCCUAUGUCUUGUCAAAUUUCCUUUCACAGAAAGUACCUUGUUACAAACAUCACAUUUCGUAGACAUCAGUGACAUGAUGACAUUAGUUUCAGCUUUUGAUCUUUUCCCCGUACGGUCAAAUUUCGAUUGAAAAUAUCACCUAACUGUUCCCACUAGUCUGCCUUUAUUGAAUCUGUAUAAUACUUCGGUUCUUACAGAAUUUCUGGUCAUAAAAACGAGAGCAUUCCAAGACACAGUUUGCAAACAACACGUGUUUCAA
rnacentral:lncRNA from 1 species